UGAUCAGCCUUUAAGAGUCAAAGCUUCCCCUCGGGAAAUGCCAAAAUAAACUAGAAACAUCAGAAAACAUGUUCCCUGUUUAAAGAGGAGAUGUUUAAUCUUCUUUUUAUUCUUUGCUAAGCAUUCCCUCCUUCCAGGCUAAAUUAAGGAGUAACAUUGACACCGCUCCAGGAAAGACAUGCUAACCCUUCCGUAAGCUAAUUGUCAAGUGAUGGUGCCAGCUUUGGGCAGUGAGUUCUUAACUGUCAAUAAGCGAAGACAAAGAUUAGAAAGAGAGAAGAAGGAGCAGUGAGGACAAGCCCGCGCUCCUACGGCACACACUCACUCACCCGCAAGACUUUCCCAACAGCUAGAAGCACUGACUGGACAUCAUACACAGAUUUAUCCAUUCCAGCUUCCUCCUUCUUUACCUAGAGUGGGCUUUACUCACUCAGGAUCAGGGGAAAUGAUGGUACAACAAGAGUAAGUGAUUUAAAGGUCCAGAGGGAGGAAAAGACAAAAUAACUCUGCCUUCCUGAUUCCCUGGAGAGUCAAGUCUAACUGGGCAGUUUUCUGGAAGCGGCUUCUCGGGCAUGUCAGCAGUGAGGAUGCAGAAGAACUAAAUGAAAACGAUUCUUACAAGAAACAUGACAUAAGAAGAGGGGAGAGAGAAGUAGCCAGAUUUUUU